UGACGCCGCAACGCCGCGUGGGGGAUGAAGGCCUUCGGGUUGUAAACUCCUUUCGACCGGGACGAAUGGGUCCGGGUUAUACCCCGGGGGAUGGACGGUCCCGGUAAAGGAACCCCCGGUUAACUCCGGGCCAGCAGCCGCGGAAAUACAGGGGGGGCAAGGGUUGUUCGGAUUUACUGGGCGUAAAGGGGUGGAAGGCGGCCUUCUAAGUCGGACGUGAAAUCCCCGGGUUCACCUGGGGAACUGCUUCGAAAAUGGGGGGGGUUGGGUGUGGGGAAGGGGAUUGGAAUUCCCUGGGGAACAGGGAAAUGGGUAAAUGUUCGGAAGAACACCCGUGGCGAAGGGGAGCCCCUGGACCUGAACUGGCCCUCAUGGACGAAAACCCUGGGGGAGCAAAGGGGAUAACACCCCCGGGUAGUCCUGGCCCUAAAAAAUGAAUGCUGGUGUGUGGGCGUUAUCUGAUCCCUGCCGUGCCGAAGCUAACGCAUUAGGACCUCCUGCCUGGGGAUGUACGGUCGCAAGGCUACACACUCAAAGGAAUUG
rnacentral:rRNA from 1 species